rnacentral:rRNA from 1 species
UACGGAGGGUGCGAGCGUUGUCCGGAAUCAUUGGGCGUAAAGGGCGCGUAGGUGGCGCGGUCAGUUCGUGGUGAAAGCGCGGGGCUCAACCCCGCGUCGGCCAUGAAUACUGCUGGGCUGGAGCACUGUAGAGGCAGGCGGAAUUCCGGGUGUAGCGGUGGAAUGCGUAGAGAUCCGGAAGAACAUCAGUGGCGAAGGCGGCCUGCUGGGCUGUUGCUGACGCUGAGGCGCGAAAGCGUGGGUAGCAAACAGG